rnacentral:rRNA from 1 species
UACAUAGGGUGCGAGCGUUGUCCGGAAUUAUUUGGGACGUAAAGAGCUUGUAGGCGGUUUGUCGCGUCAUGCCGGUGAAAACUUCGAGGCUCAACCAUCGAACUUGCGGUGGGUACGGGCAGACUAGAGUGUGGUAGGGGAGACUGGAAUUCCUGGUGUAGCGGUGAAAUGCGCAGAUAUCAGGAGGAACACCGAUGGCGAAGGCAGGUCUCUGGGCCACUACUGACGCUGAGAAGCGAAAGCAUGGGGAGCGAACAGG